GAUGAACGCUGGCGGCGUGCCUAAUACAUGCAAGUCGAGCGAACGGACGAGAAGCUUGCUUCUCUGAUGUUUGCGGCGGACGGGUGAGUAACACGUGUAUAACCUACCUAUAAGACUGGGAUAACUUCGGGAAACCGGAUCUAAUACCGUAUGAUAUUUUGAACCGCAUGGUUCAAAUGUGAAAGACGAUCUUGCUGUCACUUAUAGAUGGAUCCGCGCUGCAUUAGCUAGUUGGUAAGGUAACGGCUUACCAAGGCAACGAUGCAUAGCCGACCUGAGAGGGUGAUCGGCCACACUGGAACGGAGACACGGUCCAGACUCCUACGGGAGGCAGCAGUAGGGAAUCUUGCGAAAUGGGCGAAAGCUUGACGGAGAAAGGCCGCGUGAGUGAUGAAGGUCUUCGGAUCGUAAAACUCUGUUAUUAGGGAAGAACAUAUGUGGAAGGAAAUGUGCACAUCGUGACGGUACCUAAUCAGAAAGCGACGGCUAACUACGUG
rnacentral:rRNA from 1 species